GUGUAAGCCGCCUCGGUAAUACGGAGGUUUCGCGCGUUAAUCGGAAUUACUGGGCGUAAAGCGCAUGCAGGUGGUUUGUUAAGUCAGAUGUGAAAGCCCGGGGCUCAACCUCGGAAUAGCAUUUGAAACUGGCAGACUAGAGUACUGUAGAGGGGGGUAGAAUUUCAGGUGUAGCGGUGAAAUGCGUAGAGAUCUGAAGGAAUACCGGUGGCGAAGGCGGCCCCCUGGACAGAUACUGACACUCAGAUGCGAAAGCGUGGGGAGCAAACAGGAUUAGAAAACCCCGUAGUCC
rnacentral:rRNA from 1 species